rnacentral:rRNA from 1 species
GAUGAACGCUGACAGAAUGCUUAACACAUGCAAGUCAACUUGAACUUCGGUUUGGGUGGCGGACGGGUGAGUAACGCGUAAAGAACUUGCCUCACAGAUAGGGACAACAUUUGGAAACGAAUGCUAAUACCUGAUAUUAUGAUUAUAUGGCAUCGUAUAAUUAUGAAAGCUAUCUGCGCUGUGAGAGAGCUUUGCGUCCCAUUAGCUAGUUGGAGAGGUAACGGCUCACCAAGGCGAUGAUGGGUAGCCGGCCUGAGAGGGUGAUCGGCCACAAAGGGACUGAGACACGGCCCUUACUCCUACGGGAGGCAGGAGUGGGGAAUAUUGGACAAAGGACCAAGAGUCUGAUGCAGCAAUUCUGUGUGCACGAUGAAGUUUUUCGGAAUGUAAAGUGGUUUCAGUUGGGAAGAAAAAAAUGACGGUACCAACAGAAGAAGUGACGGCUAAAUACGUG